rnacentral:rRNA from 1 species
AAAGCGUGCGCAGGCGGUCUUGUAAGACAGAGGUGAAAUCCCCGGGCUCAACCUGGGAACUGCCUUUGUGACUGCAAGGCUAGAGUACGGCAGAGGGGGAUGGAAUUCCGCGUGUAGCAGUGAAAUGCGUAGAUAUGCGGAGGAACACCGAUGGCGAAGGCAAUCCCCUGGGCCUGUACUGACGCUCAUGCACGAAAGCGUGGGGAGCAAACAGGAUUAGAUACCCUUGU